ACUCUCCACCUCCUCGGAGCUGACAGAACCAAAACCCACAGCGGAAACAUCUACAUCUCCAUCCUCCAAGACUCGCUCGCUUCUCUUCCUCUUCCUGGCCGCCUUUCUCGGACUCCGCUCCGGCCCGAACUCACUAAGUUCUUUCCGCACUCGUUCCUCCAGGCGAGGCACGGCCUCCUUCAGGCUUUGCACCUCGCCCUUCACCUCCUCCAGGCUCCGGAUCAGCUCACUGAGCGUCUCCAAGAUGUCGGCCUGACGCGGCGAGGGGAGCCUGGGCCCGGAGGCUUUUAAACGUUUGUGAAACUCAGCCCGACUCCUCGCAGCGGAGAUGCUGCUUUCGUUCUCUUUGGUCCUUCGGUACCAGGCGACCGCCAGCGUGAGGCCGGCCGCCCCGAUACCCACCCCUGCUAACAAGCCCAACACCAGAGCCUUGCCAUCGGUUGGCUGCGUCAUGUCCGCGAGCGCCAGCCGUUACUCCAGUCGGUUAGAAGUGAGCGCGAGCAGCAACUACAGUUUGAAACCCAAUCGCCACCUGCCCGCACCUUCACCUUUCCUAUAACAACUCGCUGGUAUUAGCUCCACUGAAACAACAACCUCUCCCUUCAUCUGCUGUCAUACGCGAUUAAUAACCGCCCACUCGGAAUUCUCUACUCACGGCUGCAACAGCCUACUUUUGCACUGUGAAUGACAGCAGGAAAGCGAAAGUCUAUUGAGCACUCACUUUCAGGCAAGGCUGUCCCGAGGCAUGGUGUAUUGGUGAAACCCAGCAGAUGCUGUGACAACGGAUGAAUAGAUACCACACAACAAUUGGGGUGUUCCCUCCCAAGGGGGAAUACUUCAGCUACGAAGGACAUUUGGCCUCAGAUCUUCGGGUGAGCAUCCUCCAAGGCAGACUUCAGAAUUCACAUCAAUGCAGAGUUGAUGAGCAGAGGCUAACAGGAUGACCUCAACAGGGAUCUUGGGUUCAUGUCACACUAGAGGUGGUACCACACUAUACACUCUUACACAUACAUUCACACACAAGCACACAUACCCACUCACACAGACCCUCUCUCAUGCAUACUCCCUCUGUCACUGUAUUGUUCACACCCACAAUUCACAAUCGCGCGCACACCCUCUCACAGUCAUAUAUUCGGUCACACCCGUGCACACACUCUACCAAACACACACACAUGCUCAGAUGCACACGUACACACUCGCUCCCUCUUUCUCACACACACACACACACACACACACACACACACACACACACUCUCUCACUCUCUCUCUCUCUCUCACACACAUACACACACAUAUAAGUCUUUGGGGUGAGUUUACAUUUGCAGAUUCAUUUUAUUUUGUUCAAAAAGCACACAAUCUGUUGGCAGUCAGUCAAUGUGACAUUUUAUAAAUUGCUACUUUGGAAAUAGAACCAGUCUGACUCCAGAUCAGAUUCUAACUCCACACCUUCAAUGCAUUGUCUGACCUGAGAUAUCACCUUUUUUUAAAAACCUUAAGUUAUCUUGGGACUAUGACUUGAAAGAAGUUCUGGCAUUUACAUAUUAAUCAAUCAAAACCGCAUCUCCCCAUUCUAAGACUUAACAGCAAUCUAGGUUUGUUUCAUACAUCGCAUCAAUUGUAUGACACUUUGAUCUUUUACUGUAACUUCUGUGUCCUAUGAUCCUGCCCCAUUAGCUGAUGGAGGAGCAGUGCUUCAAAAGCUUAUACUUCCAAAUAAACCUAUUGGACUAUAA